AAAGUUUUUCUCAAAAUUAUUUAAGUAAACUAUUUUGGAGAGGCACCUCCAAAUCUAAUUAGGAGAAUAAGAAAUGAAACCUCGGGAGGAGGAAUUACUAAAAACCAUGCAUUGGUUCAAUGAAUCGAUGACAACUUUGUUCAUAUCUCAUCUAUAUUAUUAUAUGUAAUGAUGGAAGUACAACUUACAGAUAGUCCCAUUAAUGGAGGAAUCAAAAGCAACUUGAAUAGACCAUAGAAAUCACUUCCUAGCAAUUAUAGGAAGGAUCACUUAUAAAAUUUAUACCACGACAAAAGUAAUAAUCCAUGAACGAAUUCGAAUUUAAUACGUGGAUUGAUCUACCGUGGAAUAAAAAUGAGCAGGCAUCUCCAAAUCUACGGAUGAGAAACCAUGGAAACAUUCGCUAUUUCGUGGUAGAAAAAUGAAUGGACACGAAUUUAAACAGGGUCCUGGGAACAAGAUACAUUUCCAUUUCUAAUAAAACGUAUAUGGCAGAAAAACUAAAGCUUUCCGAGACUUUAACAUUUGUAGUGGUCAAUAAUCAUAGGUUAUUAUAAUAGGUUAAGUUACCAUUAACCGACCACAGUCAAAAAUUAAUUUGUCUUGAGGCUUUUAUUCGUAGAUUGACUCACUGCAAAUUGAAAUCUGGAGCAGUCGAGUCUACGUCCAGGAGCCAUUCAUCAAUUUUGACAAUCCAGUGCCGGUACUAUUCCCAAGAAGAGUUUUUAAACAAAAGCUAGAUACGGUAACUUGUCCCUUUUGCAACUAUGUGUGGUUAAUCGGAAAUGGUGACAAAUCUCUUUGUCACCAUUAUCUAGAUACUUUUUAAGCCAGAUAGAUAGAUAGGUCUAGAUGGUGAAGCUGCUAAACAAGAUGCAUAGUACCAGUAUUGUAUGUACAAAAUUGAAUGUGGAAAACAAAUUUGAUCGAACAAAUCUCAGGUAUAGAAUCAGGAUCGUCCCCACAAACCAUGGUGAACCGC